GACGAACGCUGGCGGCGUGCUUAACACAUGCAAGUCGAACGGACAGGCCCUGCUUGCAGGGUACUCGAGUGGCGAACGGGUGAGUAACACGCGGGUGAUCUGCCCUGCACUUCGGGAUAAGCCUGGGAAACUGGGUCUAAUACCGGAUAGGUGCCAUCUUUAGCGUGAUGGUUGGAAAGUUUUUUCGGUGUAGGAUGAGCUCGCGGCCUAUCAGCUUGCUGGUGGGGUAAUGGCCUACCAAGGCGGCGACGGGUAGCCGGCCUGCGAGGGUGGACGGCCACAUUGGGACUGAGAUACGGCCCAGACUCCUACGGGAGGCAGCAGUGGGGAAUAUUGCACAAUGGGCGCAAGCCUGAUGCAGCGACGCCGCGUGGGGGAUGACGGCCUUCGGGUUGUAAACUCCUUUCGCUAGGGACGAAGCUUUUUGUGACGGUACCUAGAUAAGAAGCACCGGCUAACUACGUG
rnacentral:rRNA from 1 species